UUUUUUUUUUUUUUUUCCGCAAUAUUUAAUUUAGCACACAGAAAACAAAGAAAUUUAUGCGAUUGCUAAAAAAGACCACCUCACAGGAAUGUGCUCGAAGAUCUCGACAUUUGCAUCAGUUGUGGAUCCAACACAUCCAGCGUCCACUAUUACGCUGUGUGUGUGUGUGUGUGUGUGUGUGUGUGUGUGUCGUAAGUCUUAUCUUAUCUUGUCAGUCACUAUUUAUAUGUGUGCAUCUCUCUCUCUCUCUCUCUCUCUCUCUCUCUCUCUCUCUCUUAGCACGCCACUCUCUCUGAGACAAAAGCAAACAGCUGUGGGUUACGUACAAACCGGUCAAGUAGGAUGAUCCUCACAACGCUUCAAGACGCCUCACACUCACCACAUCGACACCCUAAUGACAGUCAAAAAGUGCAUGCUGUACCGGCCAAAAGCCUGACAUGUCUGGACAUGCACCGUCAUUGCUUUCUCUGGAUCUCCGCCCAGUGGCUGUGAUAAUGCUGAUGAAAAAAUUAUGAAUUUGCUGCCAUGCAUAGUUAUGGAUUUAUGAAAAGGUAAUAAAUUUAUGGUUUUACAGCAGUAGACUAAUGUUAAAUAGUAAAAUAGAUCUCAAUGCUAAGAUUAUUAACAGUGAUCAUUAAGCAAAAAGCUGAGUUAUAUGCACAAAUGGAUUUUUUGUAUAUGAAAAAUAAUAUAUCUGCAAUGAUAACAGUAAAUAGUAUAAACAUAAAAACAAUAAAAAUUUAAUAUUACAGUGCUUUCAGGAUGUCUGCAUCUCAUAUAUUAUCAAUAUAUAUUAGGCAUCAUGUUAUUCUGAAUGUAGGGUCUCUUUAGGGCAUCUGUACCUAUUAGGUUGUUACAAGUUCAGAUUUUAUCAUAAUAAUGUGAUUCUUUUAUUGAAACUCUGAAAACUCCAGUUUCUUACCUUCCAUAUGCUGAGCUGGAAAUCCUAUCCUCUGAGAUCACUUUUAACAUUACCAGUCCCUCACACCUGCUGAAAAACUACUCAUGCUCUGUAUGUUUUACAUCAUUUUGUCAGCUUUAAUCUUAAUGAAGUUCACUUCAUUAUUAUUGUCUUCUUUUGCUUUACCAUGUUGCAUUAAUUAACUACAUCAGUGGCUUCUAAUGUGUGUGUGUGUGGGCUACACUCAAGAUAACCCAUGCAUACUGCAAAUUUGCAUAUAAUGAAUACUUAUAUCAACAGAUUAAACAAGGAUGAACUCCACACAUCCCAAAGUACCAUAUUAUAGCCAUAAAGUAUCUACAUUUGCAUACAAAAACAUACAAAUGCAACGCAACAUGGUACAGUCCAUAGUGAAAAACAAGGAAUGUUAUAAUUCUAUAAUUUCCAUAUACAUGUACUUAUGUACUUAAUGACAAGAUGUGUAGAUUUGCCUCAAGCCUACCAGGCAUUGUGACACACACAAUUUGUUUUAUUGACAAACUGCUUUAGUUGAGGUUUUGUCAGGCACAUACUUCACAUACCUUAGCUCUGCUCAUGAGAUUCUGCUUUCAAUAGGCAUAAGCUCUACCCUCAAGUAUUCCCACAAACUGGUGUCAAGCUUGAGCCAAGCUCAGUCUAGAGUCAUCUCAUAAGCCACUGCUGACAUGAUGCCACACAAUGCACUUACUUUCCAUUGGUACAUAUAAGUAUAUAGCAGAACCCUUUCAUCCACCAACUUAGCACCUAUGAAUUUCGAUUGAUUGUGGAUCAGUAAAAUUAAUUCACAGUUUUGCUAAAUAUAAAGAUAUAAGUUCUUAACAUGCAAAUUAAGUGCUGCUUUUCCUGAAAUUUCAAUUUUUGUUAUUUUUAACUUCAUGCAAUUAUUCAUUAUGAAGAAACCAUACUGGUCCAUAACAGAAUCUGCUUCAAUAUCUUUUACUGGGCUUGAUCUUUUAAAAAUCAAAUUACAAUUAUGGUUUUAAA